rnacentral:misc_RNA from 1 species
GUAAAAGUUUAUAGGCACAAAGGCCCAUUAAUUACAUUCUAUAAACAUACAUAGGGUAUAUGUAAACAUAGACCUGAAAAUAUAAGAAGAGACAAGAAGUCAAUUCUCAAUCCUGAGUACUAUAAAAGUGUUCAGAGAGAUAGUCAGGUCUACAAAAGGUGCACAGGUGAAGAUACAAAGAUGACAAGUGUGCACAUUGCUCCCUAGAGAACCAGCAACAACUUAUCAGGUUUAUUUCAAUAAUGAUCCUUCCGCAGGUUCACCUACGGAAA